GACCCAGCCUCUAGCUAUAAGAGACAACUAACAGAGUUGGCAAGCCGUUCUUGUACAUCAGCAAACCUUAUUUUUACCACCAUCUCAUCCUCCUUAAUUAGCAAGCCUUAUUUUCCCUACUAUCACCAACAUCUCAUCCUCCGAUUGAGAUGCAGAUCUUGGCCUCUUCACUCAUCCAUGUGCUUCCUUACUUUAACGUCGACGCCGGCCGUUGCGGGACACGGGGGCUGAAGAGCUAGAGUAGCAAGUCACCGGGGUACGUGCUGUGGCUGGCCGGACGUCCGGCGAGGGAGGCAACCAGAGGGAUGCAUGUUCUCUCUGCCGGCACGCGCACGAAAGCAGCAACACCGAAUUUCGGAUUACCAUCGAGGGGGCGACAAUCAAUUUGUAGCCCAUUUAUGAGAUCAAAGGAGAAUUCCCUCAAGAAGACACGCCUAAAACUGAAGAUUUCAUGCAAAGGACAAAGGAUAAAAAGCAGAGAAUUAACCAGUUGCAGAAUUUACUUGGUCACUGGACAAUGAUGGCUAAUUUUAUCAAUACUGAAAACAGACAGAAAUUUUACUGCCGCGGACAAUGAUUAUGGAGACAUACUCAAAGCAAACGAACCUAUGCAUGAAGAGCUCUUAACGAUAUAGGUGUGUUCACGCCCGCGCGAUGCAUCAAGGAUGCGGGCACUGGCUAACUGGCUGGCCGACCGUAGAGAAGAGGUCCAUGGUGCAUCUGAUGGCUGAGGAGGCCGCCCUGCGCUCACAUCAGAGGAACUAAAAAAAUAAGGAGUAUGGGAAGUGUCUUACAGAACCAGUAUUGCGAGUCCAACCUCUACCAAGACAUCAGUAGGCCAUGAGACGAAAACCUCGAAGAAUGAUAGCUGGUCAUAACAGAUUGCUCAAACACGAGAAAAGCAACAACCGGCAUCCUAACAAAAAAACAAGUCCAAAAGCACAAAGCAGCUACAACUUAGCAAUAUCAGGCUCAGCAGAGAGACUGCAAGACAGAGCAGUGGCCUGAGUAUCCUUCAUCGCGUGACAAAUCUUCAUGGGGGGUCAUACAUUAAUUUGGGCAAUUGGAAAUUAAGGUAAUCAUUUUCUUUCUCCAGAGAACAUUAUAUUUCCCUUUGAAUAUAGUAAAUGGUGCGACACAAUGAUCUUGCAAUGUGCGAUGGAGAGUAGCUUACGUUUCCCCUUAUAUAGCCUCCCAGUUGGCGAAACAUCAAGAGGUCACGCAAGGACAAAAAGGAAUCAAAACUAAUGGAAAAUGGUGAACUGUUGGUUUUCUUGGAAUGAAUUAAGCUCCCACUCAAUUAAAUUAAAUGGUAACAAAAAAUUCAGCAUUCCAACGGACAACUCAUGCACUAGCUAGGGUUAGCACGAUCAUGAAAUAGGAGGCCCCUACCCACACCCACCCAACCAGUGGCAAUGCGAGACUAAACUCUUUGCACACCAAAUGCAAGUUGAAUGUGCCCCUUAUGUUUUUUUAAUUACAUUGGUUGGUGCCCGUAAAAUUUAGCUCUCUUUAGAACUAAAUUAUAAGAAGUGUAUUAAUAGAACACACCAUGUCUUGGCAUCAAACAAAUGGCAAGAUUGAUUGGGCAUCAGUGUUCGUAACAAGCAACAAAAAAAUGGUUAACAUAAAAUUGUUCAAUUAUUUGCUGGGGCAACAGCAUAACAAGAGCCCGAAUAUUAAGAAGUCCGCAAUGGAACAAGCAGGAAAAGCCGCAUAUCCAACUCUCAUGUCCUGUUUGGACCGGUUGUAUGGUCUGUACAUGCAUCAUCUUUGCUCUUCUGCUUGCUCGAUCAAUGGAGUGCACUGUUUUAGAAAGAUGGCAAAAAAGCAUCAUUAGCCAAACGAGUUUGAGACUUCGUAAUGUGGCUUCAAGGAAUUUUGGUACUAACCCUGUACGAUUAGUAGCCAACGAUGACAUGGCAGCCUCCUAUGCCAAGUACGAAGAUCAGCGGCACAAUGGAAGCCCACCAAACAGCCUUGCCGAUGGUGAAAUGGCGCCCAUUGGCGUCACGCGAGCACGCCAACCAAUAUGCAGCAAGAGUUUCUCCAACUCCCGCGACAAAAAUGGCGGCGAGGCCACAGUAAUAUGCGAGCGGGUGGUGGAGGAAAAGAACACCGCUCGCCGACUUGUACAAGGCCGUUCCAAUAGCGAUGACCAAGGUCGGGACGCUGAUCUUGCAUAUGUCCCGGGCGAGCUGCUGCGUCCGUUGGUCCAUGCUAGCGGACUCCUGGACCUGGUCUGGAGGCAUCUGGAUGGUGUGGUCGUCGUUGCCGGUGCCCUGUCCAAGUUAAAAAAAAAAGCUUAGUUAUAUAGAGGAGAAGAAAACAACAAUAUGGAAGGAGAGGUCUGGCUGGUGAGCGAGUCUUUUUUUUAUUUUUUUGCUCGUGAGCUCCAU